rnacentral:rRNA from 1 species
AGAGCGAACGCUGGCGGCAGGCUUAACACAUGCAAGUCGAGCGGGCGUAGCAAUACGUCAGCGGCAGACGGGUGAGUAACGCGUGGGAACGUACCUUUUGGUUCGGAACAACACAGGGAAACUUGUGCUAAUACCGGAUAAGCCCUUACGGGGAAAGAUUUAUCGCCGAAAGAUCGGCCCGCGUCUGAUUAGCUAGUUGGUGAGGUAAUGGCUCACCAAGGCGACGAUCAGUAGCUGGUCUGAGAGGAUGAUCAGCCACAUUGGGACUGAGACACGGCCCAAACUCCUACGGGAGGCAGCAGUGGGAAUAUUGGACAAUGGGCGCAAACCUGAUCCAGCCAUGCCGCGUGAGUGAUGAAGGCCCUAGGGUUGUAAAGCUCUUUUGUGCGGGAAGAUAAUGACGGUACCGCAAGAAUAAGCCCCGGCUAACUUCGUGCCAGCAGCCGC